UACGAAGGGGGCGAGCGUUGUUCGGAAUUACUGGGCGUAAAGGGCGCGUAGGCGGCCGAUCAAGUCAGAUGUGAAAGUCCUGGGCUUAACCUGGGGACUGCAUUUGAUACUGAUUGGCUUGAAUUCGGGAGAGGAUAGCGGAAUUCCCAGUGUAGAGGUGAAAUUCGUAGAUAUUGGGAAGAACACCGGUGGCGAAGGCGGCUAUCUGGACCGACAUUGACGCUGAGGCGCGAAAGCGUGGGGAGCAAACGGG
rnacentral:rRNA from 1 species